CCACCCGCAGCACGACUGGAUUCCGUGCGCAUGAUUACGGAUCAUGAGGUUGCAGGUUCGACUCCUGUCGGGUGGUCCA
rnacentral:tRNA from 1 species